AUGAAGUGGCUCAGCCAAAGUUGGGAUCCAAUUCUGUGUGACCUCCCCAAGCACAUGAGCUACCGGCUCUGCCAUACUGGGUCUCUUUUGAGGUGGGCCACAGCCUUGCUGGGUCAAGGGCAAACACUGCUAGCUCAAGGGCAAGUACAUAUGGAUGGCCUAGGAGGUAGCUGGGAGCCUGACUUAGGCCCCAUGGAAAGAGUGUCACAUUUGAGGACACUCGAGAGCAAGCUGAUGGUUUAGUGGGGGAUUUAAUGGACUCACUCCGUACCCUUUGUGUUCCUGGUUUUGAUAAGGUCUGGGGCAGGAACAUCUAAUUUGUAAACAGGGUCUGACCAUUGCAUGGGUGGGAAGCUUUUCUUAUUGGCCCCCUGCUUUCUCUCCCAUGCGAGCCCUCAAGUUCUUCCCCCUAGGUCUUUUGCACUGUAAGCACCAAGGAGCCCUUGUGCUUGGCAGGAAUGACCGUGAGGGUAUCUGGAACCUCGGUGGGGCCCCUGGCCCAGCCAGAGAGGCAAUAAGCUUGGGGACAUUCCGUUCUGGGUUCUGACGUUGUUGGUUCAUUGUGCUCUUUUGUAAGAGGAAUUUCAUACCUUGGAAAUGCUUUGUACAUAUUUGUAAUGAUUUUAUUAAAAAAUUGGUUGUGCACUUCUAGCCAAAGGCUUUCAUGUCUUCAUUUCCGCUUGGAAGGCUGGGCCUCAAAGACCAUAGGACAGUCUGGCUGUACCACUGAUACAGAAUCUUGGGUUCUCCACACCCCAACCUUCCC
rnacentral:lncRNA from 1 species